rnacentral:rRNA from 1 species
UACGGAGGGAGCUAGCGUUGUUCGGAAUUACUGGGCGUAAAGCGCACGUAGGCGGCGAUUCAAGUCAGAGGUGAAAGCCCGGGGCUCAACCCCGGAACUGCCCUUGAAACUGGGAAGCUAGAAUCUUGGAGAGGCGAGUGGAAUUCCGAGUGUAGAGGUGAAAUUCGUAGAUAUUCGGAAGAACACCAGUGGCGAAGGCGACUCGCUGGACAAGUAUUGACGCUGAGGUGCGAAAGCGUGGGGAGCAAACAGG